CGCCAUCUUUCGCAGCGCAGUAAAUAUAUUUCUUCGAAAUGAUUUUUCGCGGGUUUACUGCAUUAUUAAAAAAAUCUGGAAUCCCCCACGAAAAUUAAAAAUUCGGAAUCAUCGAUAUGGGAGUUCUUUUGUGGAAACAUUUGAACGGAAGGUUUCCCAAAUUGGGCCAAAUAGGAAGAAGCAAACAUGUCCAGGCCGUCCUGUUCCUGUAUUUAACCGAUGCCCAGCCUUGCGGCACCCAACUGCGGUGCUGCAAAGAUGAGAUGAGGCCGGAUUCCACCCCGUUGCAAUCUGGAGAAAAUGGUUUAUCCUCGGGUGGCUUUGUUCUCGUUCGCCGGAAAAUUUCAUUCCUUCCGUAAUCCCGUUGAGCAUGCAUUCGUCUAGAAAAUUAGAAAACACCCAGCACGAUUUGUUGGACUCGGGACAGUAUCACAAGGAUGGCACCGGUCGUACGAUUGGUGGCACAAUCUUUACAUCUGCGAGAUGGAGGAUCGGUUGGUGACUAUUUUACCAUUCAUCUAGUCCAGCACUAGGCUUUGACGUCGUCCAAGGACACCGACUUCCGAGCUGCUCGGCUAUGUAGUUUUCCCCAGUGGUAACUCAUCUGAAACCUGCGAGUUUCGAGUGAGAAGCCCCUCACCUCUCGCCGGAUGUUCACGAUGACUCUCUGCCAUAGCUGGCAUUGCCAUGACAUUUAAGAGCUGCGGAUAGACCGAUCAGGUCAAGACAUAUAGAAUCAAAGUAGAGUCGGCGAAUAUUGUCACCGGUGUAUUAUUGGUCAAUGGUCAGUGAACUCAAGCAUUCUA